rnacentral:rRNA from 1 species
UACGUAGGCAGCAAGCGUUGUUCGGAGUUACUGGGCGUAAAGGGUGUGUAGGCGGUUCUUUAAGUUUGCUGUGAAAUCUCCCGGCUUAACCGGGAGGGUGCGGUGAAUACUGAGGGACUAGAGUACGGGAGAGGAAAGUGGAAUUCCUGGUGUAGCGGUGAAAUGCGUAGAUAUCAGGAGGAACACCAAUGGCGAAGGCGACUACCUGGCCUGUUCUUGACGCUGAGGCGCGAAAGCUAGGGGAGCAAACGGG